UACGUAGGGUGCGAGCGUUAAUCGGAAUUACUGGGCGUAAAGCGUGCGCAGGCGGUUCGUUGUGUCGGCGGUGAAAGCCCCGGGCUUAACCUGGGAAUGGCCGUCGAAACUGGCGAACUGGAGUGUGGCAGAGGGGGGUGGAAUUCCGCGUGUAGCAGUGAAAUGCGUAGAGAUGCGGAGGAACACCGAUGGCGAAGGCAGCCCCCUGGGCCAAUACUGACGCUCAUGCACGAAAGCGUGGGGAGCAAACAGG
rnacentral:rRNA from 1 species